rnacentral:rRNA from 1 species
GUCUGUGGCCAUACCACCCUGAACACACCCGAUCCUGUCUGAUCUCAGAAGCUAAGCAGGGUCGGGCCUGGUUAGUCCUUGGAUGGGAGACCACCUAGGAAGACUGGGUGCUGUAGGUG